GGGCGGUUAGCUCAGUUGGUUAGAGCACCUCGCUUACACCGAGGGUGUCGGGGGUUCGAGUCCCUCACCGCCCA
rnacentral:tRNA from 1 species